GUAGAGGGGCAACCCUUGAGAGUGGCGAACGGGUGAGUAAUGCAUCGGAACGUGCCCAGUCGUGGGGGAUAACGCAGCGAAAGCUGUGCUAAUACCGCAUGUGAUCUGUGGAUGAAAGCAGGGGACUUGGUAGCAAUACUGGGCCUUGUGCGAUUGGAGCGGCCGAUGUCAGAUUAGCUAGUUGGUAGGGUAAAAGCCUACCAAGGCGACGAUCUGUAGCUGGUCUGAGAGGACGACCAGCCACACUGGGACUGAGACACGGCCCAGACUCCUACGGGAGGCAGCAGUGGGGAAUUUUGGACAAUGGGCGCAAGCCUGAUCCAGCAAUGCCGCGUGCAGGACGAAGGCCUUCGGGUUGUAAACUGCUUUUGUACGGAGCGAAACGGUCUGGGUUAAUACCCUAGGCUAAUGACGGUACCGUAAGAAUAAGCACCGGCUAACUACGUGCCAGCAGCCGCGGUAAUACGUAGGGUGCGAGCGUUAAUCGGAAUUACUGGGCGUAAAGCGUGCGCAGGCGGUUUUGUAAGACAGGCGUGAAAUCCCCGGGCUCAACCUGGGAAUGGCGCUUGUGACUGCAAAGCUAGAGUGCGGCAGAGGGGGAUGGAAUUCCGCGUGUAGCAGUGAAAUACGUAGAUAUGCGGAGGAACACCGAUGGCGAAGGCAAUCCCCUGGGCCUGCACUGACGCUCAUGCACGAAAGCGUGGGGAGCAAACAGGAUUAGAUACCCUGGUUGUCCACGCCCUAAACGAUGUCAACUGGUUGUUGGUCCUUAGCUGGAUCAGUAACGAAGCUAACGCGUGAAGUUGACCGCCUGGGGAGUACGGCCGCAAGGUUGAAACUCAAGGAAUUGACGGGGACCCGCACAAGCGGUGGAUGAUGUGGUUUAAUUCGAUGCAACGCGAAAAACCUUACCCACCUUUGACAUGGCAG
rnacentral:rRNA from 1 species